AGGAUUGAUCAUGCCAGAGUGAACACACUCUAUUCACAACUGUUUUUUGAAGCUAAGCAUGGAAGGGCCUGGUUAGUAUUUGAAUGGGAGGCCACCAGAGAAUAGCAGGAACAUCCUA
rnacentral:rRNA from 1 species